ensembl:miRNA mir153b microRNA 153b
GAGCGAUGGAGCGCGGUAGCGAGGUAUUGCACAGCUGUCUGUGUCAUUUUUGUGGUUUGCAGCUAGUAGUCUGGUUCCAGUUGCAUAGUCACAAAAAUGAGCACAGACAGAUGUGACUGCAGCAACGCUGAUGAAACGCUCCAUCGCC